AAAGAGAUCAAAUUUGGUUCAGCCAUUUUUACGUUUUGGUACGCAAAAGUACCAUGUUUUGGAACAUCUGUUCUGGAACGCUGUUCAGAGAGAGGGGAAGGGGCAACGUUUUAGGUAACACUGUCCCUGCCACUGCAACAGCUUAUAUAAGGUUUUGAUGAAUGACCUGGUUAAACCACUAGGGGUAUGACAUUUUUGAAAUUUAUGCCUUUAUGCUGAAACACUUAAGGACUAUUAAUACAAAUUAAGUUCUUAACUUCUUAUUUGACUCAACUGAAGUCUAACGAAA
rnacentral:misc_RNA from 1 species